UGGGGAAUUUUGGACAAUGGGGGAAACCCUGAUCCAGCCAUUCCGCGUGAGUGAAGAAGGCCUUCGGGUUGUAAAGCUCUUUUGUCCGGAACGAAACGGUUACGGCUAAUACCUGUGACUACUGACGGUACCGGAAGAAUAAGCACCGGCUAACUACGUGCCAGCAGCCGCGGUAAUACGUAGGGUGCGAGCGUUAAUCGGAAUUACUGGGCGUAAAGCGUGCGCAGGCGGUUUUGUAAGCCAGAUGUGAAAUCCCCGGGCUUAACCUGGGAAUGGCAUUUGGGACUGCAAGGCUUGAGUGCGGCAGAGGAGACUGGAAUUCCUGGUGUAGCAGUGAAAUGCGUAGAUAUCAGGAGGAACACCGAUGGCGAAGGCAGGUCUCUGGGCUGACACUGACGCUCAUGCACGAAAGCGUGGGGAGCAAACA
rnacentral:rRNA from 3 species